GGCAGUAUGGUGUAAUGAUGCACAUGGGAAUUUCAUGGCUGGAAACUCUAUGGGAAUGUAUUGCCGAGGUCCUUGUUCGAAUCAAGGUACUGCUC